GCCUGGGUGGCUCAGUCGAUUAAGCCUCUGACUUCAGCUCAGGUCAUGAUCUCCCAGUCUGUGGGUUCAAGCCCCACAUCAGGCU
rnacentral:tRNA from 1 species